UACAGAGGUCUCAAGCGUUUGUUCGGGAUUCAUUGGGCGUAAAGGGUGCGUAGGCGGCGCGGUAAGUCGGGUGUGAAAUUUCGAGGCUUAACUUCGAAACUGCAUUCGAUACUGCCGUGCUUGAGGACUGGAGAGGAGACUGGAAUUUACGGUGUAGCGGUGAAAUGCGUAGAUAUCGUAAGGAAGACCAGUGGCGAAGGCGGGUCUCUGGACAGUUCCUGACGCUGAGGCACGAAGGCCCAGGGGAGCAAACGGG
rnacentral:rRNA from 1 species